UACAGAGGUCUCAAGCGUUGUUCGGAUUCAUUGGGCGUAAAGGGCGCGUAGGCUGCGGGGCAAGUCGGGUGUGAAAUCUCAGAGCUCAACUCUGAAACUGCACUCGAUACUGCUUUGCUUGAGGACUGGAGAGGAGAUUGGAAUUCACGGUGUAGCAGUGAAAUGCGUAGAGAUCAUGAGGAAGACCAGUGGCGAAGGCGGGUCUCUGGACAGUUCCUGACACUGAGGCACGAAGGCCAGGGGAGCAAACGGG
rnacentral:rRNA from 1 species